rnacentral:RNase_MRP_RNA from 1 species
AUUUAACAUAAUAAUGUUACGUGCAGAAAAUAUACAGAAAAUUUAUAUGAAUUUUCAUUUCAUCUGCAGGGAAAGUCCCCGAGAUAAGGAAUUCUCAUUAUUUUGAGAUUUCCUUUUUUAGGAAAGCUAGUAACCUGAUAAGUUAUGAAUCUUAUAUUACCCUUGAAGACAUAACCCCUCUGCUCACGUGCACGCGCACACGCAUAGUCAAGGUUGUAUGUGAAAUAGCGAGUUAAAUGUAACAUGUGUUAUAUCUUUUUUAUAACAUCACUGAAUGGGGCUUAUACAUAUGUUAAA